rnacentral:rRNA from 1 species
UACAGAGGGUGCAAACGUUGUUCGGAAUCACUGGGCGUAAAGCGCACGUAGGCGGAUUUGCCAGUCAGGGGUGAAAUCCCGGGGCUCAACCUCGGAACUGCCUUUGAUACAGCAAGUCUUGAGUUCGAGAGAGGUGGGUGGAAUUCCUAGUGUAGAGGUGAAAUUCGUAGAUAUUAGGAAGAGCACCGGUGGCGAAGGCGGCCCACUGGCUCGACACUGACGCUGAGGUGCGAAAGCGUGGGGAGCAAACAGG